rnacentral:lncRNA from 1 species
GCUCUUGGCUGGUGGCUGGAUUAGGGUUUGGGAUACUGAGGUUAAGAGUGUGUAGUAACUAAAUUGGUUUUGCACAGGUUGAGGUGUGGAUAAUGGAGAGGCCCAUCCUGCAUGUACUUUGGAAUGUCAUAGACCAUUAUGGCCAUAAGGAAAGUGCUCAGACAAAACCUAAGACAAUUCAACUUAAGCCCAAGAUGUCUGAGUGGUUAUAAACUUCCAAAAGAUUGCCAAAGGAGUAGAAAAAAAUUUCAGCAUUCUUAAUUUGAAACCCUUUUAUUUGAUGAGCCAAAGAAAGAAUGAUCUUACAUUAUUCUGGAGUAGAACAUUAUAAUUUCAAAUAAACAGAAGUAAUCUGAAC